UACAUGGGGUGCAAACGUUGCUCGGAAUUAUUGGGCGUAAAGCGCGCGUAGGCGGUUACUCAAGUCGGAUGUGAAAGCCCUCGGCUUAACUGAGGAAGUGCACCCGAAACUGAGUAGCUAGAGUACUAAAGAGGGUCGCGGAAUCCCCGGUGUAGAGGUGAAAUUCGUAGAUAUCGGGAGGAACACCGGUGGCGAAGGCGGCGACCUGGGUAGAUACUGACGCUGAGGCGCGAAAGCGUGGGGAGCGAACAGG
rnacentral:rRNA from 1 species